ensembl:lncRNA
AGAGAGGCACUGCACUAAUAAAUGUGGAAGAAUGCCAGCUCUGUGGAAAUAUUGACAGGUCUGGUGUAAAAUUCAGUUUUUCCAAUACCACUCCAACUAAACAGAAUGAAUGGAACAUUAGACUCUCAGGGCCUGUGGCUGCAGGUACAUCACUCACUGAACACCUUCCCAGCUAUGCAGCUAAGGGGCGAAGGCCGAUGUUCUGCUUAAAAUCACAAGCCUACCAGCACUUCUUCUGCAGCAGAUACUUCUAUUCUCGAAGAGCUCGUGAAAAUAUGAAGAUGACUAGGGGAAGAGAUCCCAUACAUUUUGGAUGAAGAACACACUGAAGAGUUAAUAUAAGAGUCGUGUGGCGUAAGAGACUCCACACUGGACACAGCAAGAUCUUUCAUACAUGAUACUUCUAUUCCUGAAGAGCUCGUGAAAAUAUGAAGAUGACUAGGGGAAGAGAUCCCAUACAUUUUGGAUGAAGAAUACACUGAAGAGUGUAUGCAAGAGUUGUAUGGCGUAAGAGACUCCACACUGGACACAGCAAGAUCUUUCAUACAUGGUCAGAGCUCAUAGCCAACCAGAAGAUAAGAAUCUGCCAUCUACUAAAGCUUUUACUUUGUCAAUGUCAAGAAAUAAAAAAAGUAUACACAUAGAGGAGACAGAUACUGAUAGAAAAAGGGCAAUAUUCUGGGUGAUACAACAUUAGAACUGCAGGAGGCCAUAGCAUAGGAGACUAAAAGUUUUGCCACAGACUUCCUGAGGUGAUAUAGUCCGAAUCUUCUUCAAUGCUGAUUCCAUCACCCGCUGGUAUUUGUAUAAUAUGGAACUUUUCAAACGAAACAUUAGCAAUGUUUUAAAGGACUAUGUGUGAAUGUAGUCUCCUCUCUUGUUAUUGCUGUCCAGUUGAGCUGCUUCUGUUGAAGAAGCUCAAGAAGGACCUGUCCAUACAGGUUUUCACCUGAAGGUGUAGGCUGUUGAGCAGGACUGUGCUGUGAAAUACUAAUAAACUGUAUAUAUUUAAAAUUGUGGUACUAUUCUAGUUCUAAAGUAUCUUUGACCCUCAAUCUGUUCACACCACUUUUGGAUGCAUCACUUGUGGUUUCUCUGUGAAACAAUAUACUUGUCUGUGAAUUGGUAUUAUUAAUAUGUAACUCACACUGGUAUGUUAGUUCAAUUAUAUUAUUGUUGGUGAGCAAAGAUUUAUUGGGCAAUUUGAGAAAGCAUCCUUUUUAACCACAUAGCACUCAUAUAAGCCAGUUUUUAUAUUCAGAGCCAUGUCCCAUCAGGACAAGAAUGUGAAAAUGAAUUCAGAUGUCAUGCUGUUGGUAUGGUUCAAAUGAGGAGUGUUCUGACAUCUCACAUAGCCAGCUGGAUAACUGCAAGGUGCAGGUGUUUCCAAGAAUACCUGGCAUGGCUUAUGAACACUGGACUAUUUAGCCUCAGGCUUCCUGACCAAAAUACUCUCCUAACACUGUGUCAAGAUGAGAAGCACAUCAACUCAUAGAAUAAUUCUUAAAUGUUACUAUGUCAGACAGUGGCAACUUCUUGAAGAACCUACUGAUAACUAUAGGGGAGAAAGAAAAAUCCCAAGAGAAGGUGACUGUAUAUAAGCAUGUCAAGUGUCAAUCUUAUAUACAUAAGACAUUCCUUUGGAUCGUUUCUUUACAGUAAGUUGGCAGUGCUUCUGGACUGAGAACUGUGUUUUCCUGUUGCUAGCAGUUGCCAUGAAUUUACUGGAAGCACUGACUCAUGCUUAAUUAGUGGUGCCUUGGCUUAUUUUUAUACUGUUUUUAUGUAUUUGGAGUAUAUGCUAUUUUUAAGGCACAUAUUGUUCUUCUAAAUAUGUCAUUGUAAUACGGCAUAAUGAUUUUUACGAUAUUGAAAUUCAAAGAAAAUAUCUUUUCAAUAUCUUGUUUUGACUUAAUUCCAAGCAGACAAAUCUAUGGAUGAUAAGCUUUCUUCAUAUAAGUCAGUUAAUCAAGUAAUGGAUUGCCUGUUAUCUAAUACAUGGAUUUGGCUCCUAAAUUUCUCAGAGAUAAUGAAAUGAUACCGACUAAUAUGAUUGCACAGCUCUUUGCAUUGAAAAAAGUCAACAUUUAUUUUCCAUCUGAAGGGAGAGCAGGAAAGUGUUAAUGUCUUAAAACCAUGACAAAUCUCAGUGGAAAACACCUUUGCUUGUAGUGUUUGUUCACCACAUGGUGCAUGCCUCAGAGGGUGUUAAAUCAGCAAAACUGCUGAAUUUGAAAUAUAGGGAACAUUUAUCUGCCUCUGAAUUCAGUUAUGCUAUGUGCAAAGAUCCUGAAUAGAAUCUGAUAGUAUAACAGCAAUGUAGAAUUGCAUAUUAAACAUACCUAACCUGUCAUUAAAAACCUCUAAUUACAGCCAUCAGAUGAGUCCUUGUGCUGCUACUUGUCAUGUUAGAUGUAUACAUCAUUUUAAUGGAAGAAGAUAGUAUUUCUGAUUAUGUCGCUUAAUGUACAAUAUAUGAAAGUUAUGGGCCUGAACCUGUUCCCAUGGAGGUCAAUGACAGUUUUGCCAUUGUCUUCAAUUAGAGCAGGAUGUGGCUUUAUGACACUAGAUAUUCAUUUGCAUUAAUUAAUUUACUUAGUAGGUAAUGAAAAACUCGAAAAAACAGCCCUCUGGCUCAUGAGUCUGGCAUUGUGCUUAAUACUCUCAUUAGGAAUAAUUGCACUGAUAAACUUUUAAGCAGAAACAGUUAAGAUGGAUCAGUGUAAAAUCAAGCUUAUCAGCAGUUGACUGAGCCUACCUUCUAUGUUACAACCUCGUCUGCUUUUAUUCUUCUCUGACUGGGAUGUAGAAUCUUUAAUGCUUAGUAGUGUAGAUGAAAGUGUGAUCUUUUCAAACUUUAUGGAUUUAUAUAUUUUAUAUAUCAUGAAGGUACUGGCUCAGCAAAUGCCAUAGAACUGGCAGCUGAGUUUUUGGGUCUGCAAUCUCACUGAGGAAGGCAAGGAUAGAUAGGUAAUGAGAUACAGUGGGCAGAUAGGUAAUGAGAUACAGUGGUUCUUUCAUAUCAUGGUUGGAGCUGGAGCAACAUAUGUGGGAAUAUCCAUAUAGAAAUUGCUAAAUGUAAACACAGCUCUUUGGAACUAAGCUCCUAUAGUGUGCUUUGAUUUCUAAAAUCAAAAAUAAUACAUCAGUCUCCCAAGUUUUUUCAUUUUUAAGCUGAUAGCAGUACCUAUUAUGCUAGCAGCAGUCUUAUGUCUGAGAAAAAUAAGAGGCUGUGAAAAUGGUGACGGAGCCAAACUAGCAGGAAUGCACUAUGACAACCAGUAAGCCAUAGGGGAUGUAUGUGAGUUCUAAAAUAUGCAGUCUGGGACUGAAGAAUUAGAAGGAAUUGAUACAUACCACCCUGCACAGAAAGGUUAGGAAUCAAAUGAUCUUCCAGUGAGCUAACAGUGGCUGGAGGACUUCAUUCUCACUUGCUGAAGGGGUGGAAUGUGGGUUUCUAUGAGCUGGUUGAGUUUAGCAUUCUGUGUCAUCUUGGCAAAAUGACUUCUACUUCUGGAUGCUAUUUCUACAGCCUGGGGACAAUGACUUCUCUUUACCUUGUAAGGUUUUUGGUUGUGUUGGCUUUGUAAGGUAUUUGGCUAUCUGUGUGUUGAGAACCAUAAAGUACCCACAUCAAUUGAAAACCCGUCAGUCAGAGCUUGAAAACUCAUCAGUCUCUGUAUUUGGAGCUUUUUAUUAGAUUAAGAAAAAAAAAAAAGUGAGACAAUAUUAGCUUGGGGUCUGCUUGCCUCCUUUAGCAUAUUGCUGUGACUGCCUUGGAAUAUUUUUAGCCAGGCAUGCUGUAGUUUAUGGACAUUAUUGUAGAAAUACUUGCUGAGAAAAGCUGUUUCAUUAAUUGGGUAGUCUCACUGUAAACCAUGUGAUAUCCCAGAAGACACUUUAUAAAUAAAGU